rnacentral:snRNA from 1 species
GGAUGGGAGGGCGAUCUGGCUGCAAUAUUUGUCACCCCUUUGAUCGCUAGGAUUGAGUAGGAUGAUCUGGCUGGCUAGGUAGGUGUCCCCUUCCUCCCUCACCACUCCAUGUGCGUCCCUCCCGAAGCUGCAUGCUCGGUGGAAGAGGACAAUGUCCCAGAUAUAGAAGAAGUGUACCGAGGUCUCCAGUCUUUGGUCCCAGGUAUAAGAUAGCUGCGCUCCCCUGAUAGAACCUCCAAACAAGCUCAAAGUCCAUUUGUAGGAGAUUACAUCUACAUCACUUGUGUUCUCCCAUCCCUGACUACCACAAAUUUUGGAAAACCAG